GGCCUUUCUAGGAGCCAGCUUGCUUUCAUCUUACUGUUUUGAUUGUGCCUCACAAGGGACAACACUCCGAUUGUCUAGGAGGAGGAAGGUCAGGGACAGAAAAGUAAAAGCCAGGAGCAGCCUGUCCUGUCUGCCUGGGCUGCUGGGGAAUGAUUGUCAGUGAAUCGAGUUGUCUGUGGAGCCCCUGAGCAAAUUCUCCCAGUGGCAGAUCUCGCAAAAGGGGAGGAAGGCCUUCACCGCUGAACCCGAGCUUUGCCAUUUCGAAGUGCUGAGUCACCUCGUCCUCUCAGGGUCAGACACUUUCACGCAGGAAACGUCCUGCAGAGCACCGCAGCGGGAGCACCGAGCUGGGUGGUAAUUUAUUCUAGAACCGAUGUGCCAGCGUUUCCUUCUGUGUGCUUUGAGUAGGAGCAGGAACAACGGAUCUCUCCAAGCAUGGGCAGACGGAGAGCUGCAACCCUUGGACCAACCAACGCCUGCCAGUGGGCGCCUGCAUCCCACGCCUGCAUCCCGCGUGCAGGCUACUGGCAGGUGCUCUGUGUCUCACUCCAUCUUUACCUGCCCUGUAAAGGAGGAACUGUUGUUUUUAGUCUCCUGGAGCAGCCGCGCCUUCCCACAGCACUCAGACUUGAGGAAGCUUAAGAAGCUGAGACCAGAGAGGGCGAUGUCCACCUUGGUGACGAAGCACUCUAGAGGCUGCCGCCACACUUAAAAAGUGACCAGUCACCAACAACUCAUCUUAAGUACAGGAAGAAUGCCAGCAGCUGAAUGAAAUUCUUGCUUUCCCUGGUGAACAACGAAGGGGAAGGGAAUGGAGUGUGGUGAAAGAGAGGGCAGAAAGGCUGCCAGUGUCCUCUUCAUCCCUGCCCCACCCCCACCCCCACCCCCCAGCACAGAGAGACCCGGGAAGAUUUCAAAUCUUUCCUUUAAGUGGCGGCUAAGGACAAAAUGAAAUGACUUAGCCACCUAUCAUGGUCUUUACUGAGUUAUAUCCAUGGAUAUAAGAUAAUUUGGCAUCUAAAAAACAAAGACAGGGCCAGUAAAAUGGCUCACUGGGUAAAGGUGCCCGCUGCCAAGCCAGAGCACCUGGGUUUGGUCCUUGGAACUCACACGGUGGGGAGAACAGAUCCCUUCAUGCUGUGUGCUGAUGCCCACAUGCAUGUUAGGAAAACACUUCCAGCCCCCUAAACUAACUUUUUCUAUUCCGUACUCUGCCUGUGACUAGACCUGGAAGGAGAGAACAAGGGCCUUCCUGAGGCAGGACAAGGACCCAGAACUACCCAGAAUGCAGCAGGGCGGCCCCGCACGACUGAGCUCUGAUCCUAACCUGCAAAGUGAAGUUUCAAUUUCCACUUCCUGAGAAGAUGUGGAAACUCAGAGAGGAUGCCACUGUUUUGAACUAUUUUGAAGGCACAGCCACCAGAGCUUUAGGGACAGGGUAUUUUAUCACAGCAACAGAAAUGAAACCAAAACAACUCCACAAUAAAAUUCUUGAGUUUCUUGGGGCCAAGAAGAUGACACGAUAAGAUAAAGACACUGGCCAAGCAUGACCUCCAGAGUUUGGCCCUUGCAUAAAGGAGAAAAUUAAUUCCUUCAGUUGUUCUCUGACCUCCACAUGCGUCCUGUAACAUGGGUGUAUGCAUACACAUAAACACACAUCCACACGUUGUUAAAUAAAUAAAAAAAAUAUGUUAACA
rnacentral:lncRNA from 1 species